UUUUGAACGAUGAAGCAUUCUCCGAAUUCGGUUCUCCGCCUAGAAGUCCCUCACGUGUUGAAGAUGAAGGUGGAGCACAAAGACACGCCGGCCUGGACGUGUCCCGAUUGCGGAAAGACAUUCACAAACAAAUCGACAAUAAAAGUUCAUAAAUGGAGACAUGAUAAGUUACGCAAAGAGUACACCACAUGCAGAAAAUGCGGUCAGCAAUUGGUCAGUAUGGAGCGCUUCAUAGGUCAUAUCAAUGCACACUUCAAAAAGGAUGGAGUUUGGGUUUUGACGUGCGGCGUAUGUAAUGAAAAAUUCCAGGAUGAAAGAACUUUAAGGCACCACGAAUGGAAGUUCAAUCAUGAGACGAUUCGUCAAAUCCCAACGUGCCGCCGGUGUCAGAGAACUUUCCAACGAGAUAAAGAUUUGAAGAAGCACGAAUUAAAUCAUAAGACUAUUGACCUCGCAAAGUUUAAAUGCACCCUUUGCUAUGAGAUGUUUAAGUUGGAAAAUCACUACAAAUACCAUAUGGAAGCUAAGCAUGGACCAGGUGAGUUCAUAACCG
rnacentral:lncRNA from 1 species